UGCAGUUUCCCCUUUUUUCUGGUUUUGCUAUUCAAUUUUGUUGUUCGCUUGUUUGUUGGAUUGAUGGAUAUCAAUAUCGAUACUGAGAUGUAUCUGCAAGGUGGAGAACCCUUGAUGGUCUCCGUCGAUUGGCGUAGCUACUUGAUGCCAGAAUCACGAGAAAACUGGAUACAUUGAAGAGGCAUCUUCCUUUCUCUGAUCAAGAAGGAUUACAGGAACUCCAGAAAAUGGCUUUAAGGUUUGAGGAAAAGGUUUAUACUGCUGCCACAAGCCAGUCGGAUUAUCUGCGGAAAAUUUCUGUGAAAAUGCUAACAAUGGAUAGAUCAAGUCUCAGAACACAAUGGCCAACUCCUUGCAAUUCAACUCUGCUGGAAAUAGCAACACAACCCCGAUCCAUGUAAAAACACCAACAAAUGAUGUUCUCCAAUUUCAUGCAACUCUAGACUGGAAUUCUUUUGCUGUGUCUUGUAUUUAGUUCUCAGGCAAAGGAUUGAACACUUGGUCUUCUAUCAACAAAACAGAAAGAAAUAUAUGUA